AUGCCUGCUGAUGGCCUGGCUGCUUGGACACGAUUUUCCGUGAUGGAAGACAACACAAGCAGCAUCCUGUGGCUGCAGCACAGCACACUUCUGCCUGUUUCCAGGCUAAUAUCACUACACCUCCAUCAUCCGUGCAGCACAAAAACAGGACCAGAUGCACAAAAAAAGGACCAGAGCCCUACAUGGGGAUGGGCUGAGGAAACAGCCUACCCAUCCACAAACACAGCCAUCUCUUCCUGAAGAUGUGGCCCUAGGACAAGAUGUAACCAGGCAAGUAAAAAGCCAACAAUUCAUGAAUAUUUUGCAGACAGACA
rnacentral:lncRNA from 1 species